UGUUUGAGUUGGACUUGGACAUGGACCAGAACCAGAACCUUAACAUGAGCAAUACAGAUAAAAGUAUGACCAGGUUGUUGGAAAAAGAAAAUAGUGGUAAGAACGUCGAUGGGUUCAACAAAAAAUACGAUGUGUAUAAAUUCAAUGAUAUACUACAUACAAAUAAAGAAGACUAUUAUCAACAUAAACCAAAAUAUACUACAUAUGAUAAUACUCAUAAUUUCUAUUUGAAACAAAAUUAUUUAAAUUAUACAUUUUCAAUACAUACUCUACGUAAUUUUAGUUGUCAUGAUAAAAUAAUUUUUUUUUAUAUUUUAUUAGAUCAGUAUUAUUAUGCAUUAUAUAAUAAAAAAUAUUAUGAACAAAAUAAAUUAAUUAUUAAUUUUGUUCAUAAUUUUUUAAAUGGGUAUGAUAUUUUAAAAUCGGUUGAGACAACAAAUCAUGCGUAUCUUACACAGGGUCAUUCCAUGGGUGGAAACAUUACAGCAGAUGUAAAAAUGACAAAACAGUUAACCGAACACGAUACCAAUACGAACACUUCUCCAAAAGAGGCAAUAAAUGAACCAACAAAAGAGGCAAUAGACGACUCAACAAAAAAGGCAAUAAAUGAGCCAACAAAAGAGGCAAUAAAUGAGCCAACAAAAGAGGCAAUAAAUGAACCAACAAAAAAGGCAAUAAAUGAACCAACAAAAAAGGCAAUAAAUGAACCAACAAAAGAGGCAAUAAAUGAACCAACAAAAGAGGCAAUAGACGACUCAACAAAAAAGGCAAUAAAUGAGCCAACAAAAGAGGCAAUAAAUGAGCCAACAAAAGAGGCAAUAAAUGAACCAACAAAAAAGGCAAUAAAUGAACCAACAAAAAAGGCAAUAAAUGAACCAACAAAAGAGGCAAUAAAUGAACCAACAAAAGAGGCAAUAAAUGAACCAACAAAAAAGGCAAUAAACGGACAAGCCACAAACAAAGCAAUAAGACGAAAUCGAGAUAAGCUAUACAACCCAUUUCAAAACAAUUAUGUAC
rnacentral:lncRNA from 1 species